UCUCACCUGCACGGAAGAUUUUAUUAAUUAAUGGGAUGUAUUCUCCCCUUCUCUCAUCAUAUGCUUCCCACUGUUCUAGUUCCAUUCCACUGACAAGGACGCUUGAUGAUUAGUAGUAGUACGAUUUACGAGUGCUAAUGGAAUUCCGCGUAUACUAAUCGUCCUCCGGUAGUAGUAGCAGUAGUACGCUCGGUUCGUGGAACCCCACUCUCCAAUCCCCAAAAGCAUCCACCCCACGGCGCGAGAUCCCAACUGCGGCCGCGGGAUUCUUCGGAGGAGUGGUGAUCGCCAUCGGGGUAUGGAGGCGGCGGCGAAGCUGAAGAGGAGCAUAUCGCGGCAGCUGUCGUCGGGGGCGGCGAGGGUGUGGCGGCAGCUGUCGCUGGAGCCGGUGUACACUCCGCGGCGGGCGGGGGCGGUGGGCGGUGGUGGUGGAGGAGGUGGAGGAGGGGGAGGGGGAGGGGGAGGGGCGAGGCCGACGAGGUUCGGGCUCGCGAGGCAGUCGUCGCUCGACCCGACGCCGCGGGAGGGGGGCGGGGCGGCGGAGGAUGGGUCGGGGGCGGCGGCGAUGCUGGCCGUGCCGGAGAACCUGGACGCGACGAUGCGGCUGCUGUUCGCGGCGUGCCAGGGGGACGUGGCCGGGGUGGAGGAGCUGCUCAGGGACGGGGUGGACGUCGACAGCAUUGACCUCGACGGGCGCACGGCGAUGCACAUCGCCGCCUGCGAGGGGCAGGGGGAGGUGGUGCGCCUGCUGCUCAGCUGGAAGGCCAACAUGAACGCCCGCGACCGCUGGGGCAGCACGCCAGCGGCAGACGCGAAGCAUUACGGGCACUUUGAAGUUUACAACCUUCUGAGAGCAAGAGGAGCAAAAACUCCGAAACAAAAGAAGACCCCGAUGACAGUUUCAAAUCCCAAAGAAGUUCCGGAGUAUGAGCUGAACCCACUUGAACUCGAGUUCAGAAGAGGAGAGGAAGUUACAAAGGGUCACUAUGUUGCCAGGUGGUAUGGAUCCAAAGUGUUUGUUAAGAUACUUGACAAAGACAGCUUCUCAGACGCCAAUAGCAUAAAUGAAUUUAAACACGAGCUUACUUUACUGGAGAAGGCCCGCCAUCCAAAUUUGGUCCAAUUUGUGGGAGCUGUUACACAAAAUGUACCAAUGAUGAUUGUUUCAGAGUAUCAUCAAAAGGGUGAUUUAGCCAGUUAUCUUGAAACAAAAGGUCGCUUGCAGCCUUACAAAGCUAUCAGAUUUUCCCUUGACAUUGCGAGGGGAUUAAAUUAUCUCCACGAGUGCAAGCCAGAGCCAAUCAUCCAUGGCAAUCUGUCAACAAAGUUGCAGAAGCAUUGUGCGGGAUGAUGAAGGGAAACUUAAAGUGGCAGGCUUUGGCUCACGUAGUCUGAUUAAAGUCUCAGAAGAUAAUCCACAAAUGGAUCAGACGACAUCAAAAUUUAACAGUGUAUACACCGCUCCUGAGAUGUACAGAAAUGGAACGUUUGACAGAAGUGUAGAUGUAUUUGCAUUUGGUCUCAUUCUUUAUGAGAUGAUUGAAGGAACUCAUGCUUUCCACCCAAAACCACCGGAGGAGGCGGCGAAAAUGAUUUGUUUGGAGGGUAUGAGACCACCGUUCAAGAACAAACCCAAAUACUAUCCUGAUGAUUUGAGAGAGCUUAUACAGGAGUGCUGGGAUCCAACACCUUCGGUCAGGCCGACGUUCGAAGAGAUAAUCGUACGCCUGAACAAGAUAUCCACGAGUUUUACUAAGCAGACUCGGUGGAGAGACACUUUUAAGUUACCAUGGAAACAAGCUUCAGAGAGAUAGCCUGGUUGCCGUCAAGAUUUCCGCCCUUUUUGCAUAUGUGAGUAAACACGGUGAAAAUUGUAUCGAGUUGUCGAGGAGAUAGUGGUCAUUUUUCACGUUUUUGUAUUUCCAAAAAAUAUUUGUAACUAUAAUCAGCCCGCUUUUACUUUCUUAUGAAUUAUAUCAUUUUUAACUGGAAUAAUGUGUUAAUUUUCUGAACGUUCAA